rnacentral:misc_RNA from 1 species
GAUGAAGAACGUAGCGAAAUGCGAUAAGUAGUGUGAAUUGCAGAAUUCAGUGAAUCAUCGAUUCUUUGAACGCACAUUGCGCCCUUUGGUAUUCCAAAGGGCAUGCCUGUUCGAGCGUCAUUUGUACCCUCAAGCUUUGCUUGGUGUUGGGCGUCUUGUCUCUAGCUUUGCUGGAGACUCGCCUUAAAGUAAUUGGCAGCCGGCCUACUGGUUUCGGAGCGCAGCACAAGUCGCACUCUCUAUCAGCAAAGGUCUAGCAUCCAUUAAGCCUUUUUUUCAACUUUUGACCUCGGAUCAGGUAGGGAUACCCGCUGAACUUAAGCAUAUCAAUAAGCGGAGGA